CCUACGGGAGGCAGCAGUGGGGAAUUUUGCGCAAUGGGGGAAACCCUGACGCAGCGACGCCGCGUGGAGGAUGAAGGCCUUCGGGUUGUAAACUCCUUUUGUGGGGGACAAUGGUGAUGGUACCCCAUGAAUAAGCCACGGCUAACUCUGUGCCAGCAGCCGCGGUAAGACAGAGGUGGCAAGCGUUGUUCGGAAUCACUGGGCUUAAAGGGCGUGUAGGCGGCAUUGCAAGUCUGGGGUGGAAUCCGGUGGCUUAACCACCGAACUGCCCUGGAAACUGCAUUGCUUGAGUCAGUGAGGGGAGGGCGGAAUUCCCGGUGUAGCAGUAAAAUGCGUAGAUAUUGGGAGGAACACCGGUGGCGAAGGCGGCUGCCUGGACAGUGACUGACGCUGAGGCGCGAAAGCUAGGGGAGCAAACGGGAUUAGAUACCCGGGUAGU
rnacentral:rRNA from 1 species